CCUAUUAGUGGGGGACAACCUCUCGAAAGGGAUGCUAAUACCGCAUACGUCCUACGGGAGAAAGCAGGGGACCUUCGGGCCUUGCGCUAAUAGAUGAGCCUAAGUCGGAUUAGCUAGUUGGUGGGGUAAAGGCCUACCAAGGCGACGAUCUGUAGCGGGUCUGAGAGGAUGAUCCGCCACACUGGGACUGAGACACGGCCCAGACUCCUACGGGAGGCAGCAGUGGGGAAUAUUGGACAAUGGGGGGAACCCUGAUCCAGCCAUGCCGCGUGUGUGAAGAAGGCCUUUUGGUUGUAAAGCACUUUAAGCGAGGAGGAGGCUACUGGUAUUAAUACUACCGGAUAGUGGACGUUACUCGCAGAAUAAGCACCGGCUAACUCUGUGCCAGCAGCCGCGGUAAUACAGAGGGUGCGAGCGUUAAUCGGAUUUACUGGGCGUAAAGCGUGCGUAGGCGGCUUUUUAAGUCGGAUGUGAAAUCCCUGAGCUUAACUUAGGAAUUGCAUUCGAUACUGGGAGGCUAGAGUAUGGGAGAGGAUGGUAGAAUUCCAGGUGUAGCGGUGAAAUGCGUAGAGAUCUGGAGGAAUACCGAUGGCGAAGGCAGCCAUCUGGCCU
rnacentral:rRNA from 2 species